rnacentral:tRNA from 1 species
CAGAAUAUAGCUAAACAGAAAAGCAUCUCUCUUACACUGAGAUAGUAUCUGUGCAAAUCAGAUUAUUCUGA